rnacentral:lncRNA from 1 species
CAUGCCCUUUUCUCUAAGGACACCCACUGCUUGUCAGUCAUCCCCUCUGAUCUAUCCUCCAAGACCAAAUCCAAUCCCAUCUAAACCAGCAGAACCUCUACCCUAACUUUCCAUAUGGUGAAACUCUCCUUUCCAUCAAACUUCUCAAAUCCAACCUUCACCCCGCUACUUUCUAUGAUCAAUCCAAAUCACAAACAGCACAAAGGCAGAUCUGAAAAAAUACCUCACUAAGGAGGGUGGACAGCAACCCCC